rnacentral:misc_RNA from 1 species
ACCAAUGAGCGGUCGCGCGAGCCUCUGGCUGCGCCGGAGUCUCGUGGCCGUCCGCUUAGCCGGUGUCGCGCGACCACCCGUCCGUUGUUUUCCUUCGCGGAUUCUCCCCCCGGUAAAGCCCCGGUCCGGCGCGAUCGUCGCCGACGGUGGACGUCGCCGCCGCCGCCGCCGCCGUCGCCGCUGUUGUCGCAGCUGUCUUUCGUCGUCAGCGUCACCUCGUCGCAGGCUGCCGUCGGCGUCAUCCACGAAGGUGGACCAGCGAGAGCUUCGCCGAUACCAUCCCCAUCGUGCCGACGCCGCCGGCCGUCGCCGCAGCAACAGCGGCCGGAAGCAGCCCCUACUUUUCCUCUCUGUCUCCCGGUCUCUCUUUCUCACUCUCUCCCUCGGGGCCACCAUGAUUCCGUACUCCACGUGCUUGUCUUUCGGCGGCCGACGCGACGCCCGCCGCUGGGUGGUUCUGCACGACGAGAUCUCUCCCUACCCGAGGCGGACUGCCGAGAUAACGGUGGACAGCGAGCAGCAGAACGCGGUGUUCGUGCGUAUCUCCGACAGCAGCCUGUUCCGUAAUUCCGGCACAUCGGCGGCCACAUUACCGGAGGCUCGCGAUGGAUCCGCAACGGAAGCGGCAUUCAGGCGUUUAUCGGACGCGGAGCGAGUCCUGCUGGAGAGCCUGGACGUCGGUCGAUGCAGGCCCAGGCACACAGGUCGAUUCCUUACGAUGCACAAGAGACGGCGUAAGAGGCUUACCACGAGGUCCUUGAAUCAGGAGCCCGGAAUCCUGGACGACAUCUUCCACGGACUAGUGCAGUGCGUAUUACAAAGGGCUGGAAACUGGCGAUUUAAUGCUUUCACGCUGGAAACGGUCACGGGCGGUCGUUCGCUGCCGGUGCUGUGCGUCCAUCUCUUUCACUGGUACGGGCUACUGCGGCACUUCAACUUGGACGUCGUAACCGUGUGGAAGCUAUUCGCUUUUAUCGAGGAGGGUUAUCAUAGUACAAAUCCUUACCACAACAGUAUACACGCGACGGACGUCACUCAGGCAAUGCAUUGCUUCCUCCAAGAAAAGAAGAUUAAGACGCACCUAACCAGUCUCGAGAUCAUGGCUUCCUUAAUAGCGGCUGUAACGCACGACCUGGAUCACCCAGGUGUCAAUCAGCCGUUCCUGGUCGCGACGAGUAAUCAUUUGGCCGCGCUUUAUCAGAACACAUCUGUCCUCGAGAAUCAUCACUGGAGAUCGGCCAUAGGCUGCCUCCUGGAGAGCGGCGUCUCGGCGCAGCUGCCGGCCGACGUGAGACCGGAACUUCAACGGCAUAUCAGCUCGUUGAUCUUGGCGACGGACAUUACGAGACAGCAGGAGUUCCUCACACGUUUCAGGGAUUACCUGAGCAACAAUUCGCUCGAGAUGAAGCGCGCAGAGGACCGCCACUUCAUCCUGCAGAUCGCCCUCAAGUGCGCCGACAUCUCCAAUCCGUGUAGACCGUGGGACAUUUCUAGGAAAUGGUCCUACAAGGUCUGCGAGGAGUUCUUCAGGCAGGGCGACUACGAGCGCCGGCUGAAUCUGCCGGUGACGCCGUUGUGCGACCGACAUACCACCAGCAUCCCGAAGAUCCAGGCCGGCUUUUUCAAGCACGUCGUCACACCGCUCUAUGUCGAGUGGCAUCGUUUCCUCGGCGACGGACUGAGCGUCUCGUUGAUGGAGUAUUUGAAAGCGAACCAAAAAAAGUGGGAGGCAUUAAUCACGCAAGAGGCGACCGAGGAGACCGAGACGGAGAUCUCCGAGCUGGACGAGCCCGAGGGUGCCGUUAGCUCGGGUGACGAGACGGCCGCUGACGAGGAUUCGGGCAGCAUCGAUCUGCUAAUACCAGCGGCGUAUAUUCAAGCAUCGCGAAUGCCAACGUUGCCGGGACGAGUCGGCCUCGACCGCGCCGGCAGGCGUCACUCUGUGCCGUUGAGCGUGUCGAAACCAUUGAGCCUACCGCCGCGUCAAGCCGCCAGAAGAGAGAGCCUGCCGAGCGAGCAUGUCAAAUCGAAAAACACCUUGUUGAAGUUGGAAGAUCAAGGUCUCCUAGGCCCGAGCUCGUUGUCUUUGUUGUCUUCUAAGAGCAGUGUGGGUGGAUCGUCUAAUGUGAGCGCAAGUGAGAGACCGGUGAGCGCGGAGAAUCUCUUACCGGAGACGAGUAUAGCCAGUAUUACCAGCAGCACUGAAGCCUCGAGACUCAGCACGGUUCUGCAGUCGACGGACGGCCAAGCGAGCAUGCAAACGAAGCAGCUCACGCGACAACAGACCUUCCCGCCGCUGCAGCCGUACGCGAGAACGAGGUACAUGUCCGCCACCGCGGAGAUGUCGCAGUGCUACACUCAAAUCCUGAUGGAGGCCGAGGAUUCGUCCAGCUGCUCGACUCCGACCAAGGAGAAAUCGUGCUCGAGCGGCCAAUGCUGCUCACCGUCGUCGCCGCAUGACCGUGGCACAUGCCAUCAAAGGCAGCUCAAUGUGCCGAGGGUCUCGAAGGAAUUGUUGGCAGUUGAUAUGCCCACGAAGAGACGGGGUUCGACCUUGUCGGACACGAUCAAACAGAAGUACGAUUUCGCGAUCAGCUCGGAGCCACGUCGCCAUUCCAUGCAGACCAUUCGCCCGGUAGACGACUCGUUCUCCAAGCAUCGCCACAAAAGGCCUUCCUCCGCUCAAGACGCCGAGUCCACGCGGAUGUUCUACGCCACGUUAACGGGUGGCAGCAGUGGCUCUCCUCACGGCGACAAGGACGGUAGCAGCCACGUGUCCGACACGUCCGUCGCGGAAUGCAAAACGGACUCGGGUUGUAAUCCGGUCGAGCUCAAGUAUAGUCGCGCUGUGAAAUUGGCGAUGCAUGAGCCGCGGACUACGUUGUCGUCCAAGAGACCGGACCAGUGUGCUUCGUCGGCGAAGAGCGCGUGUGCCGAACAAGAGCCGCGGAGAUACUCCACCCCGGUCACAGAGUGUAGAACAGUCACGACUGACAGCGCAGGUAGACGAUUCACCGCGAUACCCGUGUCUUCUGAGCUUAGCACUCACAAAGUGUUCUUUAUCGGUAGUCCUCCCGAUUCGCCGCCCCGUAAUCAUAGUGUGUCCUCGUCGAGUGACAGUGGUAGUGAGCCGAGACGAAGUGUCGGUAGUGGUGAUUCGAGUAACGAGGUUGUCGCGAUCGGCAGCAAGAGAGAGUCGGAUUGCACGAAGGAGAAAAGCUCGAAGAUGGCGAGGCUAAGCCCCGACGCGCAGAUGAAGGAGAAUGUUGACCCGCGUGCGUGCGACGAUUCCGUCAAAGCGUCAACGUUGUCCCGCAGGGGCAGCCAGGGAUGGGCGAGGAGACGCGGAUCAGCUCCGGUUGGCCUCCUAUCGAGAUUGGACGACUUUGCUCCAACUCCUGUUUCUGCCAAAGUCGACCAUAAUUGUAGACGCGGAUCUGUACCGACUGAUAUCACGAAACAUCAAGGUACGAGUGGAGGUUCCAACCGGCUUGCUUUAGGACCUCGUGGAGAUAAUUUUUCGGCCCUAAGAAGAGCUAGUCUUCCGCAAGAGGCUGCGCUGGGAAAUAUUGUGGGAAAUGUCCUCGCCAACGAACGCGAGAAUUUUCCAAUGAACAACAACAACAACAACAAUAACACCACCGGUGGCAGCAACAACAACGGCAUCAGCAGACUGUUCGACAGCACCGCUUCCGGGAUGCUGUCUCCGAGGCGAGGAUCGGUGCCAGCAGACAUAUCCGAGUUACGCCGCGAUCUGUUCAGUAGAAAUAGCGUAAACAACAAGCCGCGAAACCGCAAGAAGAUCUUGAGGAGACGCAGCAGUGGGGGCCCGGAAAUGUUCACCGGCGUGUCCACCGGAAACGACGGAAACGACAACGGUACGUGGCUCAAGUGGAAGAGGGAAGUGGGCAAGCGCGACCCUGUUCCACCCGAGCCGCUUGUCAAGCGAAGAGGAUCCCUGCCCAUAGAGAUGGUGGCUGUUUCACAUGCUGGACCAACAUCAGCACCACGUCGGUCUAGCUUGUGGCGGCUUUAACAUGCUCUAGAAACGUGUGUGGACCGUCCAUGUUACCAGCGGUUAACGUCGAAUCAAGCUACCACGACGACAGUCUUUCCUCAAACUGUCAGCAGCAGCAGCAGCAGCGACGAUUGAUUAUCGAAUUUCAAGAUUGCCAAUGCUGAAGACUUUCUCGUCGAUUGUGAACGAUGCCCAAGGACAACAAUAUACGUAGAGGUCGCGGAUACUUUUGGGACAGACCUCGUGGAUGCAUCCGAAAACGUUUAUACCUCGUUUCCGUGGUCCGUUUGUACCUCUCACGUCAUCAGGAAGGACGGGCUCUACGAAGGACUCCAGAGUGUCUGCACAACAGGGUGAUUCCGUCGGCUGUGUGCGUAUAACGUCAUCAGAAGCCCUUCCUGCAGUCUGUGCGCGAGCACGAAGCUGCAGGAAAUGAAGCGUUUCUAUCCAAGGAAACGAGCAGAGCUGCGGAGAAACUUUGGAUGUUCGCUGUGUUCGGCAUACCGCUGUUAGUGCCUGUUUCUCCUUCUCCCCUGAAGGAAAAGAAGAAACGGACCAAGCAUAAAGAUGAUCUGUCGUAUGAGCACAGCUACAUCCGGGCCACUCUGUUAAACUCGUGGUCAUUAUCAUUGGCGCACUCGCCGAUGCGCGAUCAACGCUGCCUUCCGCGCUCAAUAUUUCAUCUACCGCUGGCGAAUAAAGCGAAGCUUUUAUCAACAGGCUUCCCCACGGUCGGUCAAAUGUUGAGACUGAGUUCUGCCUUUGGCAGGAGGACGGAUGCGAAAGGUGGCGAAUCUCGGAUCCAUGCGUCUGCAUAUAUAACAAUAAUAAAAAUAAUAGUAAUAAUAUUAAAAAUAAUAACGAUAAUAGCAACAAUAAACAAUAAAAUUAUAAUUAUUACUUUUGUCAUCAUUAUCAUUAUCAUCAUCACUAUCAUCAUCAUCAUCAUCAUCAUAUCAUCAUCAUGACUAUCAUCGUUCGUUCUCAUCGCCGUUCGAUUUCUCAAUAGUUCAUAAUUAUCAGCAUUAUAUCAUCGUCAUCAUUAUUACCAAUUGUCGUCAAUGUCACCGUCAUUGUCAUUUUCAUUAUCAUUGUCGUUGUUGUUAUAGUUAUAAACGAUGUUCAAGUAAAUGGACGUUUUAUGAUUAGGCUAUAGCGAUAUGUGCGGUUCGUCUUUGGAGUUGAUUAGUUAGCGAGAAAAGGCGCGUUGUUUAAUUACAACUAUUAUUUAUUGUAUACCCGACGGUUACGACGUAUAGGUUUAUAGUACGUGAACUGAAAAACAAAUCAAAAGGUACAAGGUACCAUGACGUAUAAUCUCUAACAAAAAGAAAAAAAAAGAAGACGAAGAUGAAGAAGAAGUUGCGUUAUCGCGAACAUAUUUUCAAUAUAGAUAUUAUUAAACUGCCCUUGCCGUAAAUACGACAGCCAAUGCGGACUCGCGAGAUAUACCAUCCUUGUAUGUUAUUAAAACUAUCGACCGGGGUAGAGCAAGUUUUGAUAACACCGCUAUUUUACAUUCAAUAAAAAAAAAAAA